rnacentral:rRNA from 1 species
GACGAACGCUGGCGGCGUGCUUAACACAUGCAAGUCGAACGGUAAGGCCCUUCGGGGUACACUAGCGGCGAACGGGUGAGUAACACGUGGGUGAUCUGCCCUGCACUUCGGGAUAAGCCUGGGAAACUGGGUCUAAUACCGGAUAGGACUCCUGGCUCCAUGGUUGGGGGUGGAAAGCUUUUGCGGUGUGGGAUGGGCCCGCGGCAUAUCAGCUUGUUGGUGGGGUAAUGGCCUACCAAGGCGACGACGGGUAGCCGGCCUGAGAGGGUGACCGGUCACACUGGGACUGAGAUACGGCCCAGACCCCUACGGGAGGCAGCAGUGGGGAAUAUUGCACAAUGGGCGCAAGCCUGAUGCAGCGACGCCGCGUGAGGGAUGACGGCCUUCGGGUUGUAAACCUCUUUCAGCUAUGACGAAGCGCAAGUGACGGUAGUAGCAGAAGAAGGACCGGCCAACUACGUGCCAGCCGCCGCCGUAA